rnacentral:rRNA from 1 species
CGGGUGAGUAACGCGUGGGUAACCUGCCAUAUACAGGGGGAUAACAGCGAGAAAUUGCUGCUAAAACCGCAUAAGCGCACGGAGUCGCAUGACUCAGUGUGAAAAACUCCGGUGGUAUAUGAUGGACCCGCGUCUGAUUAGCCAGUUGGCAGGGUAACGGCCUACCAAAGCGACGAUCAGUAGCCGGCCUGAGAAGGUGGACGGCCACAUUGGGACUGAGACACGGCCCAAACUCCUACGGAAGGCAGCAG